CACGUAGGCGGCUCUUUAAGUCAGGGGUGAAAUCCUGGAGCUCAACUCCAGAACUGCCUUUGAUACUGAGGAGCUUGAGUCCGGGAGAGGUGAGUGGAACUGCGAGUGUAGAGGUGAAAUUCGUAGAUAUUCGCAAGAACACCAGUGGCGAAGGCGGCUCACUGGCCCGGUACUGACGCUGAGGUGCGAAAGCGUGGGGAGCAACGA
rnacentral:rRNA from 1 species